AAAGCCUACGGGACGCAGCAGUGGGGAAUAUUGCACAAUGGGGGAAACCCUGAUGCAGCAACGCCGCGUGAGUGAUGACGGCCUUCGGGUUGUAAAGCUCUGUCUUCAGGGACGAUAAUGACGGUACCUGAGGAGGAAGCCACGGCUCACUACGUGCCAGCAGCCGCGGUAAUACGUAGGUGGCGCGCGUUGUCCGGAUUUACUGUGCGUAAAGGGAGCGUAGGCGGGUUUUUAUGUGAGGUGUGAAAUACUCUGGCUCAACUUGAGUGCUUCAUUUCUAACUGGAAUUCUAGAGUGCAGGAGAG
rnacentral:rRNA from 1 species